ACAAGACCGAGGCGCCGCCGCCGCGUGAGCCAGCCGCUCACGCUAUAGCAACCCCCCCCCCCCACUGAUCAACCACUAGCCCCUUGACUAAUCCCGGCCUCCUAAUCUAGCCUUGUCCGUCUGGUCUAAUCUAGUCUCCCUAGUCUAGUCUUCCUGGUUUAUUCUAGUCGUCCUGGUCUAUUCUAGUCUAGUCUAGACUAAUCUAGUCUUUCUAGUCUAAUCUAGUCAUCCUGGUCUAGUCUUGUCAUCCUAGUCUAAUCUAGUCAUCCUAGUCUAAUCUAGUCAUCCUAGUCUAAUCUAGUCAUCCUAGUCUAGUCUAGUCAUCCUGGUCUAGUCUUGUCUAUCUGGUUUAAUCUAGUAUAAUUUAGUAUAAUUUAGUCAUCCUAGUCUAAUCUAGUCAUCCUAGUUUUAUCUAGUCAUCCUAGUCUAGUCAUCCUAGUCUAGUAUUGUCUAGCUGGUCUAAUCUACUUCUUGUAGAGUCAACGUGCUUCUUGCAUCAUGAUUACUUGUGUAGUCUACAUUAGGGCCCGACCGAUUCAUCGGCCUGCCGAUUUAAUCGGCCGAUUAUAGCCUUUUUGAAAAUAGUCAACAUCUGCCAAAAAGACGCCGAUUACAACCGAUUUAUUUUUUUAUUUUUUUUAUUUUUAGAAAUGUUAUUGCGCUUAGUAUCCUGCAGAUUGCGCUCCUACUCGCCUUGCUAACUAACAACUUUAGCUGGAGUAAAAAAGAGGAGAUUGAAUUUUAUCGUACAACAUGAAAGCACGCUCGCUCAGGCAGCUGCGCACUCACCUCACCAAUGUACACAAGACGCGUUGUUUGAGCAUGUUGUGCCUGUUUUUCUUUAGGUCCCAGGCCAUGUUAAUUUGUUAUACUGUAGACUCUAACUGUGAGACCAUACUGCUCAGCACGCACGUGUUAGUCACUGCUCACGAGCGCAGCACAUUGGGAGUUAGUUAUUUAUUUUACAUUUUACAUUACACUCAUUUUUGACUGUAUUCUUAAACACUCAAAGGUUCUGCAUUCAAUUCACAUAUUCGUCAAAAGUGUUGAAAGUAUAUUUAAGGUAUCAAAAACUACGUUUUAUAGGCUUUUUUUUGUUUUGUUUUUAAUCGGCCGAUUAAAUCGUAAUCGUAAUUUUUCUCUGAAAAUAAUCGGCAUCGGCACUCAAAAAUCAAUAUCGGUCGGGCCCUAGUCUACAUAUUGGUAUAAAUGAGGGGGAAGGCCCAAAUCUGAAACUCAUCCAACCAGAUUACCCAAAUAGUUACAAUUGUGAAGCAAUACUCAGCAAAUGUUAUAAAUGAUCUAAACACUAACUAGUAACGAGCUUUGUAUUAAUAUUCUGUUAACCUACUAAUCAUUAUGCACUAACUCAACAAUACAAACCUAACUACUACUUCUAAAGUCAUAA